CCUACGGGAGGCAGCAGUAGGGAAUCUUUCACAAUGGGCGCAAGCCUGAUGGAGCAACGCCGCGUGCAGGAUGAAGGCCUUCGGGUUGUAAACUGCUUUUAUAAGCGAGAAAUAUGAUGGUAACUUAUGAAUAAGGAUCGGCUAACUACGUGCCAGCAGCCGCGGUCAUACGUAGGAUCCGAGCAUUAUCCGGAGUGACUGGGUGUAAAGAGUUGCGUAGGUGGCAUAAUAAGUAGCUAGUGAAAUCUGGUGGCUCAACCAUUCAGACUAUUAGCUAAACUGUUAAGCUCGAGACCGUUAGGGGUAACUGGAAUUUCUGGUGUAGGAGUGAAAUGCGUAGAUAUUAGAAGGAACACCAAUAGCGUAGGCAGGUUACUGGGACGGUUCUGACACUGAGGCACGAAAGCGUAGGGAGCAAACGGGAUUAGAUACCCGAGUAGUC
rnacentral:rRNA from 1 species